CCUGAAGUAGAGCUAUGCGUUUUAAGUCUUUAUGCACAAUCUGCCACUAACUCCUCAACAUGUGAAUCAUGGAAAAAGGUUUACCUAAUCACCCAAGGACACGUCAGACCACCCGAUGGGGUCACAGUAUACCCAGGUAAUCAUACUUGUUAUUCAAUACCUAAGAACACAGGUGUAUUUUUGGGCAAAUUCCCAUCUGGAUAUUGUUCAACCUACCACGACCCGCCUAUAACACUGUUUAUGAAUCACGUAAAGACAGUUGGGGACAUAUAUUGGUUAUGUGGCGAUAGACAGCUGAGGUCCCAACUAGUAGGACAGUGGUGGGGGGAAUGUACCUUGGCCAAGGCUAUAAUGC